rnacentral:tRNA from 1 species
UUCGAAUCCUAUAGAGAGUACUAAUUAAUACAAACUAGUCAUGGGAAUAAUAAGACUAAACACUUUAUAUAC